UUUUUCCUUAGGUAACCUGAUCGAUUCAGAGACUCCUUAUCUUCGUGUCGUCUGCAGGAAGUACGAACUAGAUCAUUUCUUCCUGGCGACAGGCAAUGGCAGCAGCUCCUCUCUUCCCUCCUGUCCCCUCCGGUGCUCUUUUCUUAUCUUCUUCUGGUUUCCUAUCGAAGAACGAAAAGUUGGACCUCUAGUCUUUCUGCUUCGCCACUUCGUUCGAAAUCCAACUUAAGGUCCCAGUAAAAAGUGAGAGCUCUUCAACCAAAAAAAAUUAAAAAACAGAACAAUCCAAAACGGGCGCUUCUCCUUCGGCAGAAGAAAUUACAGAGAAAUUCGGCCUCGAAGCCGGCCUCUGGAAGAAGUUGGAUCCAAUCCAUGCGGAUAUUCAACUCAAAAGAGGGAGGGACUUGAGUCCAAAGCACAAAGGGGAUCAAGCAAAGGAGUGCUGCCUGCUGCAGAAGGUGGGGAUCACAACGAAUGACAAUGAGAUUGGAGAAAAAGUUGGGGACUUUUGUCCUGCCAUAUGCUGCACACAAAGCUGCAUCUCCAAUCAGGUUUCCUCCAGUAAUAUGUAAACCUCUUUGUAUAUGCUAUGAUCCUUUAUGCUCUUGUUUUAUCGGCAAUUUUCUUGUCUAGUGAAGUUGCAGUACCCUAGAUAAUACUGUCACUGUCAUGAUAGCUCUGAAUCCCAAGUGCACCCUGAGUUGCACUCCUAUUAAUUAUUAAAUUUGCAUAGCUCUGAAUCAAAUUGCUAUAUACGAAUAAAAUGAGCAUUUAGUCUGCAAUCAGAAUAUCUCAUGCAUGAUGAGUGAAAAGAUACCUGGAACAAUAAAGAUUUCAAUUUUAUUUGUUACUGAAUCACAUGAUCAAAUAUACUGUACAAUGGACCAGCUAUCUUCCAUCUUCCUAUUCUCUAGAUUCUUACAGUAAGUUGGCAACAUAUAGUCAUAUACUUGGCAACCCAAGGGUGCAAAUAAAUCCCAAACGGCAGGGUUGCAUCAGUAAAAUACAAGGGAGAUGGGCGAAAAUGAGAGAUUCUAAUAAA